rnacentral:misc_RNA from 1 species
GUAUUGAUUGCGUAUAACCGCAAAAAGAAAACAUUCUGUAUUGUGUCAAGUUUUAUGUGAAAACGCAAGCCCUCCCCGGCAAAAGGGGGGGACCCACGCGGUGAUGCACAAAAAGGGUGAGAUGGAUUGGUGUGAAAGGGCUCGGGCGUGCACGACCUUUGGAGGUCAGCGACAGCCCUUGCACCUCCCGUUGUACGAUAAUGAUCCUUCCGCAGGUUCACCUACGGAAA